GGUGAACGCUGGCGGUAGGCCUAACACAUGCAAGUCGAACGGCAGCACAGUAAGAGCUUGCUCUUACGGGUGGCGAGUGGCGGACGGGUGAGGAAUACAUCGGAAUCUACUUUUUCGUGGGGGAUAACGUAGGGAAACUUACGCUAAUACCGCAUACGACCUACGGGUGAAAGCAGGGGAUCUUCGGACCUUGCGCGAUUGAAUGAGCCGAUGUCGGAUUAGCUAGUUGGCGGGGUAAAGGCCCACCAAGGCGACGAUCCGUAGCUGGUCUGAGAGGAUGAUCAGCCACACUGGAACUGAGACACGGUCCAGACUCCUACGGGAGGCAGCAGUGGGGAAUAUUGGACAAUGGGCGCAAGCCUGAUCCAGCCAUACCGCGUGGGUGAAGAAGGCCUUCGGGUUGUAAAGCCCUUUUGUUGGGAAAGAAAAGCAGCAGGCUAAUACCCCGCUGUUCUGACGGUACCCAAAGAAUAAGCACCGGCUAACUUCGUG
rnacentral:rRNA from 1 species